GAUCAAGCUACAAAGGGCGCACGGUGAAUGCCCUGGCACUAGGAGCCGAUGAAGGACGUGAUAAGCUGCGAUAAGCUACAUGUAGGCGCACACAGCCUGUGAUAUGUAGAUUUCCGAAUGGGGAAACCCAUCUAGUUAUGCUAGAUACUGUAUACCGAAUACAUAGGUAUAUGGAGGUACACCUGGGGAACUGAAACAUCUAAGUACCCAGAGGAAGAGAAAGAAAAUUCGAUUCCCUAAGUAGCGGCGAGCGAAAGGGGAAGAGCCCAAACCAGGAACUUGUUCCUGGGGGUGCGGAUAGAUCAUAACGCUUUGAUUUCUUUAGUUGAAGAGAACUGGAAAGUUCCGUCGUAGAAGGGAAUAACCCUGUAGGCGAAAAGGAAAGAAAAGUAGAUCUACUCCAGAGUACCACGAGACACGUGAAACCUUGUGGGAAGCUGGGAGGACCAUCUCCCAAGGCUAAAUACUACCUAGUGACCGAUAGUGAAGCAGUACCGUGAGGGAAAGGUGAAAAGAACCCCGG
rnacentral:rRNA from 1 species